rnacentral:rRNA from 1 species
AAAAACAUUGUUUCUUGUGUUUGAUUGAGAAAUAUUGUCUGCCCACUGAGGAUUUGAAGGGCUGCGGUAUUACUGACCGUACAAAGGUAGCAUAAUAAAUAGUUCUUUGAUUGGGAGCUAGAAUGAAGGGCUUUAUGAAAAAUUGAUUGUCUUAGUUGUAAUAUUAGAAUUUAAUGUUUGGGUAAGAAAGCCUAAGUUAAUUAGUGGGACGAGAAGACCCUAUAGAAUUUUAUUUUAUUAUUUGGGUUAGUUAAUUAUAAUAUGUGGUUAUGUUAUAAAAUUUGAUUGGGGUGAUUGGAAAAUAUUUAACUUUUUUUGUAAUUGAUUAUUAAUAAGUAUUAAUUUGAUCCAUGGAUAUGAGUGAUUAUAAGAUAAAAUUACCUUAGGGAUAACAGCGUUAUUUAUUCGGAUAGUUCAGAUAGAUGAAUGAGAUUGCGACCUC